UACGAAGGGGGCUAGCGUUGUUCGGAAUCACUGGGCGUAAAGGGCGCGUAGGCGGCCGAUCAAGUCGGGGGUGAAAGCCUGUGGCUCAACCACAGAAUUGCCUUCGAUACUGUUUGGCUUGAGACCGGAAGAGGUUAGUGGAACUGCGAGUGUAGAGGUGAAAUUCGUAGAUAUUCGGAAGAACACCAGUGGCGAAGGCGGCUCACUGGACCGGUAUUGACGCUGAGGUGCGAAAGCGUGGGGAGCAAACAGG
rnacentral:rRNA from 1 species